rnacentral:rRNA from 1 species
CCUACGGGUGGCAGCAGUCGAGAAUCAUUCACAAUGGGGGAAACCCUGAUGGUGCGACGCCGCGUGGGGGAAUGAAGGUCUUCGGGUUGUAAACCCCUGUCAUGUGGGAGCAAAUUAAAAAGAUAGUAACACAAGAGGAAGAGACGGCUAACUCUGUGCCAGCACCCGCGGUAGUACAGAGGUCUCAAGCGUGGUUCGGAAUCACUGGGCGUAAAGCGUGCGUAGGCUGUUUCGUAAAUCGUGUGUGAAAGGCGGGGGCUCAACCCGCGGACGGCACAUGUUACUGCGAGACUAGAGUAAUGGAGGGGGAACCGGAAUGCUCGGUGUAGCAGUGAAAUGCUUAGAUAUCGAGAGGAACACUCGGGGCGAAGGCGGGUUCCUGGACAUUAACUGACGCUGAGGCACGAAGGCCAGGGGAGCGAAAGGGAUUAGAUACCCGGGUAGUC